AUUGAACGCUGGCGGCAUGCCUUACACAUGCAAGUCGAACGGCAGCGGACCUUCGGGUGCCGGCGAGUGGCGAACGGGUGAGUAAAGUAUCGGAACGUACCUUUCAGUGGGGGAUAACGUAGCGAAAGUUACGCUAAUACCGCAUAUUCUGUGAGCAGGAAAGCAGGGGAUCGCAAGACCUUGCGCUGAUUGAGCGGCCGAUAUCAGAUUAGCUAGUUGGUGGGGUAAAGGCCUACCAAGGCGACGAUCUGUAGCGGGUCUGAGAGGAUGAUCCGCCACACUGGGACUGAGACACGGCCCAGACUCCUACGGGAGGCAGCAGUGGGGAAUUUUGGACAAUGGGCGCAAGCCUGAUCCAGCCAUGCCGCGUGAGUGAAGAAGGCCUUCGGGUUGUAAAGCUCUUUCGGCCGGGAAGAAAUCGCAUGGGCUAAUACCCUGUGUGGAUGACGGUACCGGAAUAAGAAGCACCGGCUAACUACGUGCCAGCCGCCGCGGUAAUAC
rnacentral:rRNA from 1 species